UUAAGACUUGCAGUGAUGUUUAAUUCUUCUCUAUGUGAACAUCACAACAAGUCUAUACA
rnacentral:pre_miRNA from 1 species